rnacentral:lncRNA from 12 species
GGGGGGGGGGGGGGGGGGGGGGGGGGGGGGGGGGGGGGGGGGGGGUCGUUUUCGGGGCGUUUUCCCAGAAUUCCGUUUAUUGAGGCACUUGCGGAGCGGGGGAGGGGCCCGGAGUGUUUGGCCACGCCCACGUGGGGGAGGGGCCAACGGGAGGGGAGUGGGGGAGGGGCCAAACGAAGGUCACCCCAGGUCAACCCAACCCAACCCAAGGUCAACCCUGCCCAACUCAACCCAACCCAACACAAGGUCAACCAAAUUUAAGGUCAACCCAACUCAACCGAACUCAAAAGUCAACCCAACCCAUGGUCAGCAAAGCCCAAACCAACCCCAUGACCGACGCACGUCGAGUCUGGACAACCGUUGGUCAAAGUCAAGACCAAUCCCAUGGCCAACCCAAGUGGACACCGAGCCAAUGGUCGAGCCAAGACCAACCAAUGGUCAGUCAGGUGAAGGUCAACCAAUCAAUGGUCGACCCAAAGCCAAGCCAACCCAAGGUCAAGCCAAGGUCAAAGGUCACACAACCGUCGAGUGGAGCCCAACCAACGAUCAACCAAGUCAAGACUGACCAUGCGAUGGUCAUGACCAGCCAAGAGUCACCCAACCGUCAACUGAAAACCAACCAACGGCCAAAGGAGUCAACAUUGAUCAACCCAAAGUCAGGAUCAGUCCAAGAUCAAGUUAAGACCAACCCAAACCAAGGUCAAGGUCACCCAAUGAUCAAGAGAGCACCGACCAAUGGUCGACAAAACCAAGAUCGACCAUCCCAAGGUCAAGACCAACCCAAGGUCAAGACCAACCCACGGUCAAGACCACGCCCACCCAAACUCAGGUGAGGUCAAGGUCACCCAAAGCCCAACCCCAAACCAACCAAUGAUCAAGGUCAAGGUCAACCAAUCAACGGCCAACUCCAACUCAAAGCCAACCCAACCCAAGGUCAAAGGUCACCCAACGGUCAACUGAAGACCGACCAAUGAUCAACGAAGUCAAGAUGGACCAACCACAGGUCAAGACCAAUCCAAGAGUCACCCAAUGGUCAGGCGAAGAGCAAUCAAUGGUCAACAAGGUCAAGACCGACCAAGCCAUGGUGAAGACAACUCCAAGUUAAGACCAACCCAAACCAAGCUCAAGGUCACCCAACGAUCAACGAAGAGCCACCAAUGGUCAACGAAGUUGAAACCAACCAACCGACAGUCAAGACCAGCCCAAAGCCAAGGCCACGCCCACCCAAGCUCAGGCGAGCUCAAAGCCCAACCCCAAACCAACCGCGGAUCACCGAGGUCAAGCUCAGGGGGGGGGGGGGGGGGGGGGGGGGGGGGGGGGGGGGGGGGGGGGGGGGGGGGGGGGGGGGGGGGGGGG